rnacentral:snoRNA from 14 species
UGCAAGUAAUAAUGAUAAUGUGCAACGAACCAAAAGGUAUGAUUCAUGCAAUCCUGGACACCUGAGGUCCGUU